UCCCUGGUAGUACAUUGGUUAGUACACCCGCUUAUCAUGAAUGCAACUGAAGUUGCGCGCGUGAAAUUUGGGUUAGACUCCCAGCCAGGGAA